GGAGUGGACGCAUCACUGGUGUUCCAGUUGUCUCGCCAGAGGCAUUGCUGGGUAGCUAAAUGCGGAAGAGAUAAGUGCUGAAAGCAUCUAAGCACGAAACUUGCCAAGAGAUGAGUCAUCCCUGACUUUAAGUCAGUAAGGGUUGUUGUAGACUACGACGUAGAUAGGUUGGGUGUGUAAGUGUAGUGAUACAUUGAGCUAACCAAUACUAAUUGCCCGAGAGGCUUAACCAUA
rnacentral:rRNA from 1 species